CUUCCGUCUACAAGGCUAACAUUAGCUGUCACGAUCGAGGGCGAGGGAUGUAAGAGGACGGCGCGCCUCGCGAGGCUGGUGGCGUGAACACCACAUCCUACUGCAAGCGCUUCACAGUCUGAAGCAAUAAGGGCAGAUGGAGAAAUGGAGGGACUCAUCCAUGGCACCACUUCCAGGAUUCAGCUCUGGGCUCCUCAUCCUCAGUGCUCACACCAGUCUGCAGACAUUU